rnacentral:lncRNA from 1 species
ACGCAGGCUGGGCAGGGUGCUGACAGACAGGUUGACGGCGGUGACGGUGACAAACAGAACGGACAGGCAGGCAAACACCUUGCCAGGCAGCCCUGAGUGUGGCCGCUCCACCAUGUCACGCAGCCUCCUCAUGCAGCGGCUCAGGCGGCCCUCGCUGGCGGACGGACCCUCACUCUCUUGAUCCUCGCUGUCCAGCGGCUCCUCCUCCUCCUCGCGCUCCAUCAUCUCAGCAAACUCCUCGAUUUUCUGCAGGUACCGGCGCUUGCAGCAGCCGUCCAGGUGGUCCUCCGCGAUGCCCCAGUACAGCAGCUCCUCCUGGAAGGACAGGGCGCACAUCUCCCGAAGCAGCCUCAGCUUGCCGGCCCGCAGGAAGGUGAGGAUGGUGCCAAAAGCUCCGGGGUUGCGGUCGAAGAAGAACUCGUUGCAGGUUACGUCAUAGUCAUCACACACGCUCAGGAUGUCGUCGAAGUUGGUGCAGGCCUUGAGCUGGCCCAGCCGCGUCAGUGGGAACUCAUCCAGGGUGGUCCAAGGUAGUGAGUACUUGAUGCCACCCACGUUGAUGAUGAUCUGUCGCCUGCGGUCCCCAAGGGAGCAGCUCUGGUGCAGGUCGUCCUGCGGCCGCAAUCGUUGGGCCCUGCGGUAGAAGACGCCCUUGAUGGCCUGGCGCUGUGGGAAGAAGGCCGGGUGGAAGGAGGUGUCUGAGGCGCAGCUUAGAGCGCUGUAGUCAUAGUGCGAGUUGUCUCCCGGUAACAGGGUCAUUUUGGGGCUUCACAUCCCUCUUGGGCCUGGAAGGAGGAGAAGGAGGAGAGAUCCUUGGUGACCCCUGAGUCUUAAGAGAGCCCUUCACU